GUGCCAGCCGCCGCGGUAAUACGGAGGGGGCUAGCGUUGUUCGGAAUUACUGGGCGUAAAGCGCACGUAGGCGGAUUGGCCAGUCAGGGGUGAAAGCCCGGGGCUCAACCCCGGAACUGCCCCUGAUACUGCCAGUCUUGAGACCGGAAGAGGCAAGUGGAAUUCCGAGUGUAGAGGUGGAAUUCGUAGAUAUUCGGAGGAACACCAGCGGCGAAGGCGGCUUGCUGGUCCGGUUCUGACGCUGAGGUGCGAAAGCGUGGGUAGCAAACAGGAUUAGAUACCCUGGUAGUCCACGCCGUAAACGAUGAGUGCUAGUCGUCAGGCGGUUUUCCGCUUGGUGACGCAGCUAACGCGUUAAGCACUCCGCCUGGGGAGUACGGCCGCAAGGCUAAAACUCAAAGAAAUUGACGG
rnacentral:rRNA from 1 species